rnacentral:tRNA from 1 species
GGCGGUAUAGCUUAGCGGUAGAGUGCAUGCCUAGCAUGCACAAGGUCCUGGGUACGAUUCCCAGUACCUCCA